UAUAGGAAUCAUGAAUCAUUGUAAUAGAUAUCAAUAUAUCAAUCAAUAAUAAUACAUACAAUUUAUUCUCUCUCUUUCUCUAUACAUUAUUUCUUACACAAUGCUUGUACAUGUUUUGAGGGGUGAUUGUGCAGGUGGUGAAGAUGGAGCAAGAUGUCCUCAACUUUUUGAACUAUGAGAUGGGUACUCCCACAAUAAAAAUUUUUACGAGAAUUUUCACCAGGACUUCUCAAGAGAAUUGCAAUUUUUUUGAUUUGCAAAUGGAGUUUUUUGGAUUGUUACCAUGCAAAGUUAAGUUUGUUAGAUUAUAGGUAUCUGCGGUUCUUGCCAUCAUUGGUUGAUGCUUCACCCAUCUUUCUUUCUAGAUUCACAAUCGAACCUAAGAUGCAUCCUUGGGUAAGAACUAGUUCCAUUUAUUUACUGGUGCAAUAGACUGUUUCCAUUGUAGUCUCAAUAUGUAACUAGACAAGUAUGCAAAAUUGUCUUCUUGUGCUGAAGAUUUAAGCUGGUAGGUCAGGAAAUAGGUUACUGAAUCUUAAAGGGCAACUAGAGAAUUCUUUUAGAAAAUUUUCGCUAAACUUAAUUUGUGAAAACACUGCAAAAAGUUACGAAUCCCUUGGUGACUAACUAAAAGAUCAUGUCAACAAUUAUGCUUUAGCUCUGUAAAAUAAAUACAUAACUUAGCACUGGAAAACUACUCAGAUUAUAGACCAUCAAAAUUGAAACAAUGCGUCCUUUCCAUUCAUGAUUUGCAAUUGAGUAAUACAUGCAGCAUAAGGUAUCUCAUUUUGUAUUGGAUGACAGUGUACCAUCUUCAUCUUGUACUGUUGUAGCUUGAUGAACUCACAAAUUUAGGGCAUGUUUGGUUGUGUUUUCAUUUUUGCUUUUGGGUUUUGGAAAUAAAAACACAGUACGAAAACACUCAUUGUUUUCAUAUUAUUAUCAUUUUUUUGGCAAAACAGUUUUCAAAAACAACUUUUCAGUUUGCCAAAAACAACAGUUUUGAAAACAACUUUCAAAAACACUCACCAGAAACAAUUUGCCAAACUAGGUAAUUUUUUUUUUACAUUAUGUUUUUUGGAAAAUGAUGAAAACAAAAACAAACAAGUUCUUAUCUUUUCUGAGGAGAUGUAGAUCCUGUAAUUAGAUGCAACUACUUGGGUAUUGGUUGAGUUUCUUUUAUAGGCAUUAACUUCCAGUACUAAUGCUAUUUAUCAACAAACACAAAAACACAAGUUGCAGAAACUUAUGGGAGUCGGGUCUUUAGCAAUUUAGGCCGUGACAUUAUCUCAUAUGUACAAGCGAUAAUCUAAUUUGAAUUUUCUUUUUUUGAACAAUUCAAGGGUGUUAUAGCUUUGUCUUCUCCGUCAGAAAUCCCUGUGAGUUAUUUGGAGGCCAUCUAUGAAUAAGCAUUGAUGAGAUUUCAGAGCAGUCAACCUCAAAUUUUGUAAAGAGAACUUGUGGAGUGGAAUGGAAUUUACUCAUUUUAGCGAACUGGUGGAAUAUCAAUGGAAGGCAUUGAUGGCUUACAUGUUAGAUUCUUGUUAUGUGGUGCACAUGAUCAAUAAUUCUGGAUUUGGAAUAGGAUGUAGAUCUUGUUGGUUAUUGCUCUCAUCUAGUGUUUGUUAGUCGAUGAUUGACAUGAGACAUAUGCUUGUAUAUAUUAGUAGUGAGAACAAAACAACAUAGUUUUCCAAGAUUUGCUGUUUUUUAAAUUUCUUUUUUUCAAAUCUAAACAGUCCAGUAACUUUUGGAUGAUGCUCAGUUCCAUGGCCGAGCUAGUGGCUGUGCAACUCAUGACCUUUUAGUAUUAGCAAUCAUGCUUAAAUAAUAGUUUGGAG